rnacentral:rRNA from 1 species
GAGUAUACAAAGCAGGGCGGGUGCUUACCAUGCAAGUCGAACGGUGAACACGGAGCUUGCUCUGUGGGAUCAGUGGCGAACGGGUGAGUAACACGUGAGCAACCUGCCCCUGACUCUGGGAUAAGCGCUGGAAACGGCGUCUAAUACUGGAUACGAACCAUGAAGGCAUCUUCAGUGGUUGGAAAGAUUUAUUGGUUGGGGAUGGGCUCGCGGCCUAUCAGCUUGUUGGUGAGGUAAUGGCUCACCAAGGCGUCGACGGGUAGCCGGCCUGAGAGGGUGACCGGCCACACUGGGACUGAGACACGGCCCAGACUCCUACGGGAGGCAGCAGUGGGGAAUAUUGCACAAUGGGCGCAAGCCUGAUGCAGCAACGCCGCGUGAGGGAUGACGGCCUUCGGGUUGUAAACCUCUUUUAGCAGGGAAGAAGCGAAAGUGACGGUACCUGCAGAAAAAGCGCCGGCUAACUACGUGCCAGCAGCCGCGGUAAUACGUAGGGCGCAAGCGUUAUCCGGAAUUAUUGGGCGUAAAGAGCUCGUAGGCGGUUUGUCGCGUCUGCUGUGAAAUCCGGAGGCUCAACCUCCGGCCUGCAGUGGGUACGGGCAGACUAAAGUUGCGGGAGGGGAGAUUGGAAUUUCCUGGUGUAGCGGUGGAAUGCUCAAGAUUAUCAGUAGGAACUC